GCUUUGCAACGCCGGCAACAAACUGGAAACAUAAACAGAAAAAAAAAACAAGUGACGUUGCUUCCAAGCUGUUUUUGCGAUUUUUUCUUCUGAAAAAUCAAUAUGUAUAUUGCGAUGUUUGAUUGCUUUUUCAUCAUUCGGCUUUGUGUCAGCAUCUGCAAAACUAAGUUGCAGGCAUCGACGAGAAGCUGGUCAUGGUCACCCCAGGGCGGAAAUCGCUGAUGAGAAGCGCUCAAAGAUGCAACGCAUAGAUGGGAUGGGGUUUCCUCUGAAUAGUCGCUGUGAUACGGUCCGCGUUUUGGAUGGAAUACUCCGGCAGCAUUCACAUUUCUUUGGCAGCUCCAUUGACGAUUUGGUGUUUUUUUUAUAAUCAUAACGUCUCUGGCCUGAAGAAUGCGCAUCAGUUGGGACCACCAUAAAAUGGUGAGAUAAAGCAAAUUCAGAGGAGGCACUUUUCUUUUCGGUGGUUGACAGCUCUACUGCCAGGCGACGAGGAAUGUCUUUUCGGAAUAUUAAUUUCCAUCCGGGAACGAAUCUCAACCAGCAGAAUGCAUCUGGAUUUCGCCUGGGUGGUGCUGGUUGGUUCCUGAGAAAUCGCCGGGUGUAGGAGAUGAGUUGCUGCAGGACCAAUAGGCGUUAUUUCAUUUAAUUUAAUUAAUUAUUUAAUUUAAUUAUUUUUAAUUUAAUUUUAAUUUAAUUUUAAUUUAAUUUUAAUUUAAUUUUAAUUUAAUUUUAAUUUAAUUUUAAUUUAAUUUUAAUUUAAUUUUAAUUUAAUUUUAACUAGCUUUAUGUACCCGGCCUUGCUCGGAAUUGCCAGUUUGAUUUUUAGUUUUUUUCCCAAUCAGAAAAAGAUAAAACCAAUUGGUCAACAGAGUAAUUGUGUUAACUCAUUUAUACUUCAUCAUUUGAUUAAAAGAAGGCUUUUGGAAACAUUGACUGAUCUUGAAAAAGGGAUCGUUGGCUUGAAUAGGCUUAUUCCGGGCAAACGUCAAUUGCUAAAGAAGGAAAAACAUUCACCGAUGCUUUAUCCCGGGCAAACGCCCAUUUUUAAAGAAGGGAUCACACUCACCAUUGCCUUAUUCCGGGCAAAUGCCUACUUUUAAAGAAGCAAUCACAUCCACCAUUCAGAAGGAAACACAUUAAUCAUUGCUUUUCACUGGGCAAGCCAUGAUUCCGAUGCAGGGUAACAAUUAUCAUUGCUAUAUACCC